CGGGCCGCGUGCACUGCGGCCCAUUGGGUUUCCAAAGAGGGGGGAUGGGAGACGGGUCACAGUUCCAGGCCCCUCCACAAGCCCUGUCCCUGCCAUCACAAAAGAAUUAGGACCACCACUGAAGAGGCUACAUUUCCUGACGCUGCGCCGGGGACCUUAUACACCUGUAGUGAUACAGACUAACAGAAUUAUGCCAUGUCUGAAAAUUUUCCAAGAUCUACCUUAGGGGAACUUGGAUUAAGCGUGCACCGAUGACAACUACUCUGGAAACUUGUUUUCUGUGACAUGAAAAAGCUUUGCUCCACCAGCACUCCUGGAGCACCGGCGUAGUCUGCACCUUUGUGCGCAGCAGAGGGAAGGGGGCUGUGGCACAUCCCGUGUCUCCAGCCCGCAGAUAAAGGGUGGUCAGCACGCCACAUUCCUGGGCUCAGGAGGGGCCUUUCCAUCCUGCCCUCAUGUUCCAGCAGUUCUGGAAUCAAGAGAUCUGGGCUUUCCAGGGACUUUCUGUGGAAUCCUGCUACCCCUGGAGGCAGGAUGCAAGCAGAUUCACUCUUUUCUACCUACCUCAUGGGGCCCCUCCUGAAAUUCCCAUCCCCAUCAAUUAAUAGAUGCUCACAGUAAAUCUUCUAAAGUUA